rnacentral:misc_RNA from 1 species
AAAACACCAAAUUCCACUCCCUCGAGGCUUUCCACAUUGUCCUCCUCCCCAUAUGGGUUUUUCUCCUCAAUUUCAUAACUCACAUCUCCCCAUCCAGAUAAAGAUCCUGGUGGGAACUGAAAUUCAACCUUCACAUCAGUUUCCACCUGUGUACAUUCCCCAAUUUGCGUUUCUUGGAGUUUAUCAAUUCCUUGAUAAAUCAUCUUCAUUGCUUUUUUA